rnacentral:rRNA from 1 species
UACGUAGGGUGCAAGCAUUAAUCGGAAUUACUGGGCGUAAAGCGUGCGCAGGCGGUUUUGUAAGUCUGUCGUGAAAGCCCCGGGCUUAACUUGGGAAUUGCGCUCGAAACUACGUGGCUGGAGUGUGGCAGAGGAAGGUGGAAUUCCACGUGUAGCGGUGAAAUGCGUAGAGAUGUGGAGGAACACCAAUGGCGAAGGCAGCCUUCUGGGCCAACACUGACGCUCAUGCACGAAAGCGUGGGGAGCAAACAGG